GUUCUGAGCCCAAUGACCAGGGCCAGAGCAUCUGAGCGCUGCACUAGUGCCUGCCCUUCUUACCUGAGCACCUCUGGGCUAGAACUAACUCACAGAACCCACUCGGCUCCUCUCGUUUCACGCUCCAGCACUCUCUCCGUUCGGCAAGCCACAGGAGGGAUCAGCAGGAGUCCCGGCGGCGGAGCGAGGCACACCAUUAGCAGAGGAAAAUGAGCGAACUGGACCAGCUACGCCAGGAGGCCGAUCAGCUCAAGAACCAGAUCAAAGAUGCCAGGAAAGCGUGUGCGGAUGCUACCCUGUCUCAGAUCACAGCAAACAUCGACCCAGUUGGCCGAAUUCAGAUGCGCACUAGACGGACACUGAGGGGGCAUCUGGCAAAAAUCUAUGCCAUGCACUGGGGCACUGACUCGAGGCUUUUAGUCAGUGCCUCCCAGGAUGGUAAACUCAUUAUUUGGGAUAGCUACACCACAAACAAGGUCCACGCCAUCCCGCUGCGCUCCUCCUGGGUGAUGACUUGCGCUUACGCCCCCUCUGGGAACUACGUGGCCUGUGGUGGCCUGGACAACGUCUGCUCCAUCUACAACCUCAAGACCCGCGAGGGGAACGUGCGUGUCAGCCGUGAGCUGGCCGGACACACAGGUUACCUGUCCUGCUGUCGCUUCGUGGAUGACACCAAGAUCGUCACCAGCUCUGGAGAUACCACAUGUGCUCUCUGGGACAUUGAGACGGGCAUGCAGACGACCACGUUCGCCGGCCACACCGGCGAUGUCAUGAGCCUGUCGCUUGCGCCCGACACGCAGCUGUUUGUGUCCGGGGGCGUGCGACGCUUCCGCCAAGCUCUGGGACGUCAGAGAAGGAAUGUGCCGACAAACCUUCACCGGGCACGAGUCGGACAUUAAUGCCAUCUGCUUCUUCCCCAAUGGUAACGCCUUUGCCACGGGCUCAGACGACGCAACCUGCAGGCUCUUUGACCUGCGCGCCGACCAGGAGCUGAUGGUCUACUCCCAUGACAACAUUAUCUGUGGCAUCACCUCAGUGGCGUUCUCCAAGAGCGGCCGCCUGCUGCUCGCCGGCUACGACGACUUCAACUGCAACGUGUGGGAUAGCCUAAAGGCCGACCGUGCAGGUGUCCUGGCUGGACAUGACAACCGUGUCAGCUGCUUGGGUGUGACUGAUGACGGCAUGGCCGUGUCAACAGGGUCCUGGGACAGCUUCCUCAAGAUCUGGAACUAGAGUCUGAAGAUGGCAUCUGGACUCCGAAGUUGAGUGGAAGACUAUUCCAAAAUGUUCAAUUUUAUUGCAUAUCCAAUCUUCUCAAAACCAUGAAACUGACUCCAACCCCCAAAAACUACCAAGGGAAAAAUUAUCUCCUUCUCAUUUAAAAGAAGAGCACAAUUGUUUCACUCAACUAAAAAGAUGAGGAAUUUCAGUGGAAUGGAAUGGGGGAGAGAAUUGUGCAUUCGUCCUGGGACCAUUUUCUGAUAUUGUGUCAUAAGAAAAUACAUUCACCCCAUGCAAAUGUGUAAUCCAUCUUCAAUACACAGGUUUGAGUGAAGGUAAUCUACACAUCGGUGAUUUAACUCUUGAUAGCUUUUUGGUCAUGUUUAUUUUUCCCCCACCUUUAUUUUUGGUUCAGGGAACUAGAUCAGUGACCUGUUGGUAAAAUGAGGAUUGAGAGCUUUGUUUUGUCAGUCUUGAUAUAGUUUAGAGUCAAGUUUUGUAGGUUGGAAAUAAAAAUGACAAAUUAUCGUCAUCUUAAUCACAUCAGAAAAAAAGGCAAGAGAAUUGAGCUUCAGCAGGGAGUCGAGUCCAUGAGCCACCAACAGGAGGAUCUGGCCAUUCUGUAUAUUUAGUCCCAAGAUACUUCACUAUUUGUUUAUUUUUUUCUGUUUAGUCACAAAUGUUUGUUUGCACAAAUUUAAACUUUGCAUGUAUAGAAUAAUGUUUCAAGAAAAGUUAACUAACCAAGCAUAUUCUGUUUAUGAUAAUGAAUGCUCAUUUUCAAAAUGAAAACAAACAACAUUUUAACCAUUCUCUUCACCUUUUGUUGGGCGACAAUGUAGAAUAAUUAAAUGAAGAUUAACCCAUUGGUUCACUUUCUUCGUUUUAUUUCUGUUUUGUUACCCUUUUGAUGACCGUGGUUGCGACCGGAGAAGUGAUUUCGUUGGGUAGGGAGGCCUCUACUUAUUACCCCGGUUUCAUUCAACAGAGGUGCCCAUUCCGUGCUUGGAAAUGCAGUGACUACUCUAUGAAUGACAUGUUGUAUAAAUCAAUGUUUGAAAAUAAUGAUAAUGAAGCUUUUUAAGUUAAAAAAUAAAAUAAAAAAAUAUUUUGGCUUUCUGCCAUGGGUGGGUUAACUCUUAGAAUCGCAUGCUGUAGAAUUGCUUAAAAAGAGGUGCAUAUAGAACUAAGUCCUUUUGAUGUUUUUCUUUAAGAAAAUAACCUGUUAAAUAUAUCAUUACAAUGGUAUUUAUCUUGUUUUUGGCUACUCUGUGCAUACAUAAUUCAAUUAAAAUGUCAAUCCUAUGCACUUGAGAGAAGCAAACACCACAGCAUAACAAAUGGUUACCUGGUCUUACAAUAUCCAUUAUUGGGAUGGAUUCCUUGAUAAAAGUAAUGUAAACAUUUAAAACAUAUGCACACACAAAUGGAACAAAUACAUUUUCAUUCCUUCUGUAGCAAACAAAUUCCAGGGACAAAGAAAAUAAACAUUUUGUAACAAACAGGUUUUUCUCUGUCCUUUAAUAAUAAAAAAGAAAAAACUUGCAGCAUUUGAAUGACAGAAUUUUCUGUUCCCCUCCUUGUGUAAACACUUUCUUUAGCAGUAGUGGCAUUUUUACCCCCAUUCUGUUUUUUCUUUGCAAAAUUCUGUACAAAAAUGUGCUGUAUUUGUGCGUUAGGCCUGGAGUUGGCAACAAAGAAAAUCAAUACAGAAAUAUUAAAUAAAAUUCCUUUUUCUUUUCUUGCCAUGAAAUAACUGUAGAUCUCUGCACCCAGCUGUUCCCUUCUCACCUUUUGUAUUUAAAGUCAGUCAGUGUACAACCGAAAGCUGGCUGCAAGAUAGAAAUUAUAUUAAAAUGUACUGUUAUUUAAGAUUAAAUAAAAAGCAGUUUGAGAUC